ACGCAGGUCCAUACCACGAUGAAAACACCCGAUCUCGGAAGUUAAGCAUCGCCGGGCCGGGAUAGUACUUGGAUGGGGGACCGCCUGGGAACUCCCAGUGACCUGCCUU
rnacentral:rRNA from 1 species